GGUUCAAUGCCACGUCGCCGGUAGCUUACGAGCGUUGACUGGUGAUGCUAUGAUUGGACCUAAAGUAACUAAUGUUUCGCUUACUGAUAGGAACCUGGGGGUUUGAUUUUAGUUGGCCCACGGAGCCGUUUUCGGCGAUUACAUUU